UGGGGUAUAGUAUAAUGGUAGUACAACGGACUCUGACUCCGUCGGUCUUGGUUCGAAUCCAGGUACCCCAGCCA
rnacentral:tRNA from 1 species